UGAUACCAGGGUCAAAAGGUCAUGUGUUUCAUGCUUGCAUGAAAAAACAUGACUUUGGGACCCGCAAAACAUGAGAAGGCAGCCCGAACAGGGCGAAUAGUGAACCGCAUAAAGCACAAAGCAUGGAGGAUGAAGCA
rnacentral:misc_RNA from 1 species